rnacentral:rRNA from 1 species
CGGGACGGGUGAGUAAUGUCUGGGAAACUGCCUGAUGGAGGGGGAUAACUACUGGAAACGGUAGCUAAUACCGCAUAACGUCGCAAGACCAAAGAGGGGGACCUUCGGGCCUCUUGCCAUCGGAUGUGCCCAGAUGGGAUUAGCUAGUAGGUGGGGUAACGGCUCACCUAGGCGACGAUCCCUAGCUGGUCUGAGAGGAUGACCAGCCACACUGGAACUGAGACACGGUCAG